GACGCUUAGAAAAACUUCUCACAGAUGAAAGACUGACUUUCCAUUAGUGUUCCACAGGAGGUAACUGGCAGAAAAGAAAUGGAAGACUAGAAGAGAUGAUUGCUCAGAAUUGCCAAAUUAAGAAAAUGCGAGCUCCCAUCUCCAAAGACAGUGCUGUCAAAACCACUGAGGAAAUAUCCCAGCCACAAGAGGGAAUAGCAGACCAGCUUUUUUCAUAAUGCUCAUGGACUAAUGGCAUCAUGAUCUUCCUUGAGAAUCAACCCUGUGGACACUGGAGAGUUCUAUCUUUGACCAUGCAGCAGUAAGAACGAACUGGAGAGGCGGUCAAUCUGAACGGCCCCUUAUACUCGCGGAUCAAAGCACAAGAAGGAAAAGAGUGCAGACCAACAGAAACUACUAGAAAAAAAUCUUCUUAGGCACAUGAGUACCUAGAGUAGAAUACACACAGGGACCAGCACAUGAAGAACAACUGAUUUUAAAUGGGAUAGGAAAAGGCUCAUGAGCACAGAACAGAAGAAUUGUA